GGAAAUGGCCAUUCUACUGUUGUUGUUGAUGAUGAUGGUGAUGAUGAUGAUGAGUACUCACAUGUAAAAGAUGUCGAUGAUGGUUACGAGAAUAAUGAUGGUGGUAAAGAGAGUGAUGACUCGAUGGCCUCUGAUGCAUCUUCAGGGCCUAGCAAUCAGAUUUCAAACAACAUCAACAAACAUGCAGCUAGGAAGAAUGGUUCUAAACAAGUCUGCAUUCAAAAACGCCAACCUACAGAGAAAACAUUAAGCAAUGAAGGAGAAAAAUCUGAGGUCAAAGCUAGAACAAGAACAAGUGCAGCUAGCCGUGCCCAGAGUAGAGGCAAGGUGAGCAAAACCAAAUGAUGAUACUCACGAGAAGAACAUAU
rnacentral:lncRNA from 1 species